AUUGAACGCUGGCGGCAUGCCUUACACAUGCAAGUCGAACGGUAACAGGUCUUUCGGGAUGCUGACGAGUGGCGAACGGGUGAGUAAUACAUCGGAACGUGCCCAGUAAUGGGGGAUAGCUCGGCGAAAGCCGGAUUAAUACCGCAUACGCCCUGAGGGGGAAAGUGGGGGACCGCAAGGCCUCACGUUAUUGGAGCGGCCGAUGGCUGAUUAGCUAGUUGGUAGGGUAAAGGCCUACCAAGGCGACGAUCAGUAGCUGGUCUGAGAGGACGAUCAGCCACACUGGGACUGAGACACGGCCCAGACUCCUACGGGAGGCAGCAGUGGGGAAUUUUGGACAAUGGGGGAAACCCUGAUCCAGCAAUGCCGCGUGUGCGAAGAAGGCCUUCGGGUUGUAAAGCACUUUUGUCAGGGAAGAAAUCCUUUGGGCUAAUACCCUAGGGGGAUGACGGUACCUGAAGAAUAAGCACCGGCUAACUACGUGCCAGCCACCGCGGUAACAC
rnacentral:rRNA from 1 species